CACCACUGCACUCCAGCCUGGGCAACAGAGCAAGACUCUGUCUCCAAAAAAAUAAAUAAAUAAAUAAUAAAAAAUAAAAAGCUGACAUUUGAUUUUUAUUUCUAAUUGGUUAUUUUGAACAUCUAAUCUUUAAUACUUUUACUAUUUUAUUUAUGUUGAGUUAUGUAUCCAUUGUUCUAUUGUGGGAACAGUUCUAUUGGUUUUGCUUUAUUUUUUCUCGACUUUAUAUUCAUUCCUCAUAUCAGUGAUAAAACAUGUUGAACGUAAAGAUUCUUACAUAUUGUAUAGGAUAACUAUGAUAUUUUCAUUUAUGAGAACGUAUCCUAAUUAGGAAAGUCAUAAUGUAGGUGAAUGUAUUUUAAGCUGCCCCAUAAAACACAUCAAAUUGGUGUAUAAGCAUUGUGAUUUGGGGCUAAUCCCAUUUUAGAUAAUACUUUGUUUACCUAAUCAAGUACUACACAGUUACACACAUAGUUACAUGUGUGUGUUCAUGUGUUUGUGAAUUUUCAUUUUAAUAUACUUGCCUGUAUUUCUGGUCAUUCAUUUGCAAAGCAUUGAUUGCAUAAUUAUUUAUUGUAUGCCACAUAGUCAAGUCCUAGGGACACAAAUAUGAAGACAGAAGUCUUCACUUGUGAAUAACUCACAGUCUGGUUGGUGAAACAUGUAACUACUUAAUAAAAUAUUAUGUAAUAAAAA
rnacentral:lncRNA from 10 species